AAUGAACGUUGGCGGCAUGGAUUAGGCAUGCAAGUCGAGCGAGAAGUGUAGCAAUACACGGAAAGCGGCGGAAGGGAGAGUAAUACGUGGGAAUCUGCCCUUAGACCUGGGAUAGCAGCGGGAAACUGCUGGUAAUACCAGAUAAUGUCUAUGGACCAAAGGUGUGAUUCCGUCUAGGGAUGAGUCCCACGUCCUAUUAGCUAGUUGGUAGGGUAAUGGCCUACCAAGGCGAUGAUGGGUAGCGGGUGUGAGAGCAUGACCCGCCUCACUGGGACUGAGACACUGCCCAGACACCUACGGGUGGCUGCAGUCGAGAAUCUUCGGCAAUGGGCGCAAGCCUGACCGAGCGAUGCCGCGUGCGGGAUGAAGGCCUUCGGUUGUAAACCGCUGUCGAGGGGGAGCAACUUCCAUAGAGUUAUCUUUAUGGAUUGAGUGAUCCCUGGAGGAAGGACGGGCUAAGUUCGUGCCAGCAGCCGCGGU
rnacentral:rRNA from 1 species